rnacentral:rRNA from 1 species
AUUGAACGCUGGCGGCAGGCCUAACACAUGCAAGUCGAACGAGUGGCGGACGGGUGAGUAAUGUCUGGGAAACUGCCCGAUGGAGGGGGAUACAUACUGGAAACGGUAGCUCAUACCGCAUACCAUCGGAUGUGCCCCGAUGGGAUUAGCUAGUAGGUGGGGUACCGGCUCACCUAGGCGACGAUCCCUAGCUGGUCUGAGAGGAUGACCAGCCACACUGGAACUGAGACACUGUCCAGACUCCUACGGGAGGCAGCAGUGGGGAAUAUUGCACAAUGGGCGCAAGCCUGAUGCAGCCAUGCCGCGUGUAUGAAGAAGGCCUUCGGGUUGUAAAGUACUUUAAGCGAGGAGGCGUUACUCGCAGAAGAAGCACCGGCUAACUCCGUGCCAGCCGCCGCGGUAAUUC